CCCACACUAUCUUAAUAUUAGUCACAUAAAGAAGCAUGUUGUAGUGUAUAGAUCAUCUUUGGAGUCAGAAAGACCUGAAUUCAAGUUCCACUUCUAAUAAAUAUUGACCAAAUGAUCCUAGAGACGCCAUUUAACUGUCCAGGACCUCAGGCAACUCUAAAUUCUAAACUGUAGAUCAGUUGCUGAUCUAAAUCAGGAAUUUCUUGUAUACACCUAAGUGUAAAAUGUGUUGAGGAGCCCCAAACUGGCAGAUCUCUGUAGCUGCAGUGCACCUUACUGCUCUGGGGUCUGCAUCAAAUCCAGCACUCAUUUGUGAAAAAUGACUACCUUGAAUAAUCCCUCCAUGUCAUGUUUCCUGGAGAGCACAGUCAAACCUUCUGGAUCGCUGACCAUUUCCAUGCAAUGAAUACAGAGCCAAUACAAGCUGGUUCCAGCACACCCCUGGAUCUAGCUCUAACAUUCUGUCACAGGAUGUGAGACAGGACGGGACAAGGACAUCGAAGGAGCCGAGGAAAUCGUCUGAAAUUGGAUUGAAGACCCCUGGCAAAGAAAUCACUGGGCUAAGCUCCACAUAUAUGUGCAAAAUCCACUUCCAUAUUCCUCCACCAAAAUUACUGGUAGCCAUCAGUAGAACAACAAAACAUGGCGCCAGAACAUCCUGUCAAAUUCACUCAAAGGAAAUUGUCGGAAGAAAUUGUUUAAGUAGUACAUUGAAUACAAUCUGUUAGCGGCGGUCAUGUUUAGUUGCUUUCAUACAGAAUUAUAUGGAAAAGUAUGUUGUUAUCUCAAGUAACCAGGCCAAUGGGCAGCCUUCCUUUUCAGACUGGGAAACCAGAACCAACACAGCAUUUAUCUGUUGGGAAAUCUUCACCUUAACUCUAAGACUCUAAGAGAAAAUAAACAACCUCCUGAGGGCUGUUCUGAUUUUCCU
rnacentral:lncRNA from 1 species